rnacentral:rRNA from 1 species
UACGGGGGGAGCAAGCGUUGUCCGGAUUUACUGGGCGUAAAGGGCGCGUAGGCGGCCACCGCAAGUCGGUUGUGAAAUCUCCGGGCUUAACCCGGAAAGGUCAAUCGAUACUGCGGGGCUAGAGUGCAGAAGGGGCAACUGGAAUUCUCGGUGUAGCGGUGAAAUGCGUAGAUAUCGAGAGGAACACCUGCGGCGAAGGCGGGUUGCUGGGCUGACACUGACGCUGAAGCGCGAAAGCUAGGGGAGCGAACGGG